UACGGAGGGAGCUAGCGUUGUUCGGAAUUACUGGGCGUAAAGCGCACGUAGGCGGAUUUGUAAGUCAGGGGUGAAAUCCCGGGGCUCAACCCCGGAACUGCCUUUGAUACUGCGAAUCUCGAGUCCGGAAGAGGUGAGUGGAAUUCCUAGUGUAGAGGUGAAAUUCGUAGAUAUUAGGAAGAACACCAGUGGCGAAGGCGGCUCACUGGUCCGGUACUGACGCUGAGGUGCGAAAGCGUGGGGAGCAAACAGG
rnacentral:rRNA from 1 species